rnacentral:rRNA from 1 species
GAUGAACGCUGGCGGCGUGCCUAAUACAUGCAAGUCGAGCGAACGGACGAGAAGCUUGCUUCUCUGAUGUUAGCGGCGGACGGGUGAGUAACACGUGGAUAACCUACCUAUAAGACUGGGAUAACUUCGGGAAACCGUAGCUAAUACCGGAUAAUAUUUUGAACCGCAUGGUUCAAAAGUGAAAGACGGUCUUGCUGUCACUUAUAGAUGGAUCCGCGCUGCAUUAGCUAGUUGGUAAGGUAAAGGAUUACCAAGGCAACGAUGCAUAGCCGACCUGAGAGGGUGAUCGGCUACACUGGAACUGAGACACGGUCCUGACUCCGACGGGAGGCAGCAGUAGGGAAUCUUCCGCUAUGGGCGAAUGCCUGACGGAGCAACGCCGCGUGAGUGAUGAAGGUCUUCGGAUCGUAAAACUCUGUUAUUAGUGAAGAACAUAUGUGUAAGUAACUGUGCACAUCUUGACGGUACCUAAUCAGAAAGCCACGGCUAACUACGUG